CUACGGGAGGCUGCAGCUGAGGAUUUUUUACAAUGCACGAAAGUGUGAUAAAGCGAGCCAGAGUGUUGUUCUUAGAACAACUUUUAUUUGCUGUAAAAAGGCAGAUGAAUAAGGACUGGGUAAGACCGGUGCCAGCCGCCGCGGUAAUACCGGCGGUCCAAGUUGCAUCCAUUUUUAUUGGGUCUAAAACAUCCGUAGCUUGCUUUGUAAGUUUCUUGUGAAAUCUCAUGUCUCAAGCAUGAGGCUUGCAAGAAAUACUGCAUAGCUAGAGACCGGAAGACGUAAGGAGUAUGAUUGAGGUAGCGGUAAAAUGUGUUAAUCUUAAUCAGACUAACAACGGCGAAGGCACCUUACGAGUACGGAUCUGACAGUGAGGGAUGAAGGCUAGGGGCGCAAAACGGAUUAGAUACCCCCGUAGUC
rnacentral:rRNA from 1 species